AUUGAACGCUGGCGGCAGGCCUAAUACAUGCAAGUCGAACGAGUGGCGCACGUGUGAGAAAUGUCUGGGAACUACCUCUAAGGAGGGGGUAAACUACUGGAAACGGUAGUUAUUACCGCUUACCAUUCGCUUUGACCUGAUGGGAUUAGCUAGUAGGUGGGGUAAAGGCUCACCUAGGCGACGAUCCCUAGCUGGUCUGAGAGGAUGACCGGCCACACUGGAACUGAGACACGGUCCAGACUCCUACGGGAGGCAGCAGUGGGGAAUAUUGCGCAAUGGGCGCAAGCCUGAUGCAGCCAUGCCGCGUGUAUGAAGAAGGCCUUCGGAUUGUAAAGUACUUUCAGCGGGGAGGCGUUACCCGCAGAGGAAGCACCGGCUAACUCCGUGCCAGCAGCCGCGGUAAUUC
rnacentral:rRNA from 1 species